UACGUAGGGUGCGAGCGUUGUCCGGAAUUAUUGGGCGUAAAGAGCUCGUAGGCGGUGUGUCACGUCGGCCGUGAAAACCUGCAGCUUAACUGUGGGCGUGCGGUCGAUACGGGCAUCACUGGAGUUCGGCAGGGGAGACUGGAAUUCCUGGUGUAGCGGUGGAAUGCGCAGAUAUCAGGAGGAACACCAAUGGCGAAGGCAGAUCUCUGGGCCGUAACUGACGCUGAGGCACGAAAGCGUGGGGAGCGAACAGG
rnacentral:rRNA from 1 species